rnacentral:rRNA from 1 species
CCCUUAGAGUUUGAUCCUGGCUCAGGACGAACGCUGGCGGCGCGCCUAACACAUGCAAGUCGAACGAGCGAGAGAGAGCUUGCUUUCUCGAGCGAGUGGCGAACGGGUGAGUAACGCGUGAGGAACCUGCCUCAAAGAGGGGGACAACAGUUGGAAACGACUGCUAAUACCGCAUAAGCCCACGGGUCGGCAUCGACCAGAGGGAAAAGGAGCAAUCCGCUUUGAGAUGGCCUCGCGUCCGAUUAGCUAGUUGGUGAGGUAACGGCCCACCAAGGCGACGAUCGGUAGCCGGACUGAGAGGUUGAACGGCCACAUUGGGACUGAGACACGGCCCAGACUCCUACGGGAGGCAGCAGUGGGGAAUAUUGCACAAUGGGGGAAACCCUGAUGCAGCGACGCCGCGUGGAGGAAGAAGGUCUUCGGAUUGUAAACUCCUGUUGUUGGGGAAGAUAAUGACGGUACCCAACAAGGAAGUGACGGCUAACUACGUGCCAGCAGCCGCGGUAAAACGUAGGUCACAAGCGUUGUCCGGAAUUACUGGGUGUAAAGGGAGCGCAGGCGGGAAGACAAGUUGGAAGUGAAAUCUAUGGGCUCAACCCAUAAACUGCUUUCAAAACUGUUUUUCUUGAGUAGUGCAGAGGUAGGCGGAAUUCCCGGUGUAGCGGUGGAAUGCGUAGAUAUCGGGAGGAACACCAGUGGCGAAGGCGGCCUACUGGGCACCAACUGACGCUGAGGCUCGAAAGUGUAGGUAGCAAACAGGAUUAGAUACCCUGGUAGUCCACACCGUAAACGAUGAUUACUAGGUGUUGGAGGAUUGACCCCUUCAGUGCCGCAGUUAACACAAUAAGUAAUCCACCUGGGGAGUACGACCGCAAGGUUGAAAC